GAUCAUGGCUCAGAACGAACGCUGGCGGCAGGCUUAACACAUGCAAGUCGAACGAAGUCUUCGGACUUAGUGGCGCACGGGUGAGUAACACGUGGGAAUAUACCUCUUGGUGGGGAAUAACAUCGGGAAACUGAUGCUAAUACCGCAUACGCCCUUCGGGGGAAAGAUUUAUCGCCGAGAGAUUAGCCCGCGUCCGAUUAGCUAGUUGGUGAGGUAAUGGCUCACCAAGGCGACGAUCCGUAGCUAGUCUGAGAGGACGAUCAGCCACACUGGGACUGAGACACGGCCCAGACUCCUACGGGAGGCAGCAGUGGGGAAUAUUGCACAAUGGGCGAAAGCCUGAUGCAGCAAUGCCGCGUGUGUGAAGAAGGCCUGCGGGUUGUAAAGCACUUUCGGUAGGGAAGAUAAUGACGGUACCUACAGAAGAAGCACCGGCUAACUCCGUG
rnacentral:rRNA from 1 species